GUGGUGGUGGUGUUCCACACUUAGAGUUCCAGCUGUAGAGAGGUAAAGACUAGUAGGUCCUUGAGCUUCACUGGCUGGCCAGCCUACUUACUUAUUAAGCUCCACACCAAUAAAAGACUUUAUUUUAAAAACAAACAAACCCCCAAAACCACGGUGGUUGGUAAUCGAGGAAGGACACUAGAGGCUGAUCUCUGGCUUUCACGGCCGCGCACGACACACCUGUGAGGAAGAAAAGCAGGUCCAGGCUUUCCUCUCACAUAGUCUGAGCGCGUGGGUCAGGUGGAGACGCUCUGUCAUCUGGUGUUUGCUGCAGUAGAGCCCUGCUCAGCUUCAGAUCCUGGCGCUGACACGCACCAUUGUUUAACUUCGAAAAAGGUUCUCUGCUGCCCUAGACCUUGAAAGGAUCUGCAUCCGGCGUGUGCCAACAGGAAGCGGUACCUUGUCCUAGGUGGUAGAGGCCUAAAGCAAACAGUGGCUGUAAAGGGCUCAGCAACUCCAGUGCACACGAGUCCUUUGUUCACAUUUGGGGCUUUUGUGCUGUUCUCAGAGCCCAGGGAGAGUGAGUGACUUAGUUGGAAGUUCAUUGUUAGACAUAAGGGUUGAGGUCUCUGUGUGGAAUGGUCACCCAGACUGGAUGGCACAGCCAGAAGCAACCCUUUAAAAUAGGGGCAGAACAAGAACUUGACCUUGUGUGUCACAGAAACAGACAAGUAGUUUUCCUUUCCAUUUUCUUUGAAGUUAGAGGGGUGAUUUAGACUGAUCGAGAAGUGACAGUAACUCAACUCACCCAUUCUUGUAAUAAACACCUGCUGAUCCAGCUAGUUGAACCUCUCUAGGUCUGGUAUCCCCUGGUCCACUUCAGGAGCCGUGUUGAUGGUUGACUGUCACCUUUGCCUGGUUUAUGAGUAAAACUACUAAAUAAUAAUUUGACAAGUUAGAAAGAAGUGGUAGAAAUGACUCAGUGGCUAAACAUACUUAACUGACCUUGGCCUGGAGUCAUAUGUGGAAGGGGAUUCUGGGAAAUGUAGUUCCCUUUAACCAAGCCGAUGGAUUGCAGCACAAACACACCCCCACACACCCCCACACCCACACCCACAGUGCAGUGAAAUACAUUUCUGUACUUCAUUGUUCUUUUGGGAACUAGAGAUAGAAUUAUUUUCGUUUUAAAAAUAUCAGAAAAGUAGUUGGUAUAUCAAAGUAGUUAGCAAAUAUUUAACUUGAUUAUUGCUUUCUCUCAGUAGCCUUACCUGCGUUUGAAAUGGCACAAUAGCUAAAAACAAAACAAAACAAAACAGGACUGUUUUGAUCAUAUCCUGCCUCCUGAAAGCCGUUUUUGUCAUUUGACAGUUUGAAUCUCAUAAUGCAGUAUUUUCUAAAAUUGCCCCAUAUAGUGCCAUCUAGUGGUAGAUUUCUGCACAGUAGUUCACAUCCCCACCCACUACCCCCAGUUUGUUUGUUUUUUUUAAUUAGGUUUUUUUUUUUUUUUUUUUUUUUUCCUGUUCUUGUUCUUCUAAUUGUUUCAAGACAGCCUGGCUGUUCUGGAACUCAGAGACCUUCCCACCACUGCCCAGCUCUCACAUUUUACUUUCUGAUAAAUCAGUAAGUUCACUUUUAAUCAUGCUUCAUUUUCUAAAUAUAGUUAAAGGGACUACAUCUAAAACAAAUACUUAGAAAUGGAAAAAGAAUGAGGAAAGAGAAAACAAUUGGAGUGGAGUUUUUUCCUCUCCAGGUUUUCUGUGCAUCAAUACACACACACACCGAGUUGGUUUUUGUCUGUUUACUUGAUGAUUUGAACAUACACAUAAAGUCAUUUUUGUUUGUUUAUGAAAGUCACAUGAUUGUUUCACAAGUGUGACGUAAGGAACAUGGCUCAGCUUUGCAAUCAGGCAUGCACAGGCAUUGCAUUCUGUAAGGUAAUGGGUUAUUGCUGUCUGCCAAGUGGCAUUCUGGCCACUGCAUGUGUACCAACUCAUUCCAUAUUUACCAACUUUGAUUUCUCAUGGCAGGAUUGACCUCUGCUGCACACCCCCACCCUGUGUGCAUCGCCGCUUAACUUUGUGCGUGUGAUGAUAAUAAAACUUCAUAAUGCCUGGCAUUUAGAUUGUAACGGAGCGCGUUAUUCACAGCCCAGCGAGAGAAUCUGAACUUAUCUUUUUUCCUCCAUCAUAACUUUGUUGUGUUUGUUUUUAAUUAAUGAUUGAUUGGGGGAAUCUAGAUGACCUUAACACCUCACUCACUCCCGAACUCGACCUAACUUCUUACGUCUGGAAUGUUAUUUGUGGUCCAGUGAAACAGACACUGAUGUUUUGUGUCGACUAAGUCUUCCGGGGGUAGCAGUUGGUAGCCAGCACCUGGCCUUCCUCUCUGGCCUACUUCUCUCAAGUAGCCGUGGCGUCUUCAUUGCCUCCAAGAAAGCUCGUUGGCCUUAGGGUCUGGCUGGGAGUGGAGCCUCCUUUGUGUGGCUCAGGGUUCUAGUUAGCAAGAGCUCAGUCAAGCAUGAGUGUUCUGCAAGGCAGAAGUAUUAAUUGCUUUUGAUAGUGUUUUGUCAUGAGAAUAUAGUGGGUGAAUUUUCUAGGAUUUCAAUAAAGACAAAGUCAUACAC
rnacentral:lncRNA from 1 species